GGAGGAACGAGGGGCUUAUGGCUGGGGAGCACAGAAUGCAACAAGCUGAGCGGGGCAUUGCUGAACCUAGCAGAGUCAAACGCCUUUGUGGAAUCCACCUGGACAGUCCAAAGCCUGGCUUCUCCUCUCACAGCAAGGUGGGCUUGUUUGUCAACAUGGACUACGGUCCAACAGACAGACCUAUGUCACCGCAUCCACUCCUAAAGCAGGCUGGAAAGGAGCCAACUCUGCUCCAAAAUGUGCUCCACGGUACUUGGGCUUGAGGGAAUAAGCCCAGUUUGUCAAGCCAGAGUCAGUGGUACAGUAAAGGCUUUACUGGUUUGGAGUUGGCUCAUGUCUGACCAGCUGGGAGCAGAAUGAACUUAUGUCUGGGUUCGAAAGAGCAGAGUGAAAAGCUUACGUGAACCCUCCAGGUCCUGAGAGGUGUGGAAGGCCCUGAUGGACCCACACUCUUGCAGGAUAGAGCCUUCUACCUUCACAGAAGUUCCCCAGGAUUUCUAUGAAGUCAUGUUUGACCUCUGAGAGGUCCAGAAGACAGCAGAGGAAGUAAUUCUCUAAGGAGCACUGAAUGAUUAUAAGAAGGUCCAACAAAUAUUCAUAAUACCGCUUGUUUCUUUAAUACCUAAAUGUUGCACAUAUGUCAAGAAGUAUUCUGUAUCUGUGGUCACACAUAACGUUUUCUGCCAUCAGUAGCUCCAGUGAAUGGGUUUUCAGCUGGUGUGUGCAAGUAGUGAAAUAAUAUUGCUAAGAUAUAUCAACCUGUUGGUGCUUGCAGUUUAGAGAAUUUCAAGAAAGGUUGCUGUCUGGGGAGAUGUCCACCACUCCUCCUAACUCACAGUAGUAAUUUAGGCGGGGUUGCAAAUAAUACUCCAUCCUUUGAAACGGUGGGUGGAACAAAAUAAAGAAAACAUAAUAGCUUUCAUUUUGAGUUUGAACUGAUGGCUGUUUUUGACACCCUAAGUCUUAUGAAUAUGUGACCAUCCAUGUCUGUGAUGGCAUGAUAGAUGCUGUCUGUCCCUGUUGCACCAAAGCACCUCCACAGGCUUUGAUGAGUGUCUUGUUCUGCAAGGAUUGUCAGGCCACAGGAGAUCACUGAGCAAGAGAGCCUGCCUUCAGGGAAUCAACUCACCCAUAUCGUACGCUACACUGCUUUCUCUUGCUUCCUUUGCUAAAUAUUAUCCUUUAGAAAUUCAAUACGUAGGAGGAAAAAAAAAAACGCCACCCAAUAUUCCUGUGUCAUGGAACUAAACUCUAAUGUUGCUAAAUAAGAUAUAUUGUUGUCCUGCUGCAUGAAGAUGAUUUUCUUCUUGUUUUCUGCCCCUGCUUCUCGUCUUCCUUCCCAUCUUCCACUUCUGGCUGCCUAUUUCCUUAUCUUGAGUAAAUGCAUAUUCCAAUUCACUGUGUGAACCAGCUAACACCCCAAACAAAUUUGGAUAAAGCCCAGAGUUAAUUCCAGAUACAGUUUUUCCCUUUUGAUCUGUUCCACAGGGAAAGCUGCUAAGAAAAGAAAAGGGAAGAUAUCGUUCACCAGUUGUUUCUGCAUGACGUAACUCACUGCUAAAAGUAAAGGCUAAAUGUGAUGUGGUUUUUCCCAGAUUUCUCGGACCUUCACAAGCAGCUACCUAACAAAUAGCUGUUCUAACAUCCGUGAGAGCGUUUUUUGCUGUUCUUUUUGCACAUUUGAUAAAAACAACGUGGUUUGGUGAACUACAUGGUUACACCACCACUACAGAAAAUUUGUUAUACACCAAGAAAAUGAAUAUCAGAACUCAGGAAUUUACUUUGGAAGCUAGGAGCCGGUUUCCAAAUCACCUUUUUUGCCAUGUAUAGUUUUUUAUUUUCAUCCCACUUGACACCAGCUUGGCAAAACUUUCUAACUGACUUUGUUGCAUGCUGUCUCAUACAUGAUAGCCCCUGCCUUCUCCCAAAUAUUACAACUCAGUAGCACUCGUUUGAAGCUAUGGCUUGCUGCAGAGGUUUGCAGGCUGCUGAACAGCCUGCUCUGGCAACUUAUUUCAUGUACUGAGCCUAGAAAGACUCAGCCACACUUACUGAACUUGCAGCUGGCAUGGGCUCUCUAAGCAUGUUAGCCAACUUAAAAAAACCUCUUCCUAGGUGAUGGCAUGAUGAAAGAGGCAUUUAGAAACAUCGUCCUGAGAGUACCAAAACCCCUCUACCAUGUAAUGCCACUCCUUACCAAGAAAGAUUUGAGUAAAUCCGUAUGUCCGAAAAAAAUUCACUCAGGAUGGGGUAAGAUGCAUACUGGGCGGGUGGCAGCAGGGGAAGAUGCUGCAUUUAAAUGGGCAGAAUGCAGAAUCAGCUGGAAGACUAUUGCAAGUACAAACUGGAAGUGGAGAUUCCUGCUCCGCAUCGGACUGCGUUUGGAAGAACACCCGGCUCCCACUUCCAGUCUUUAAUGAAGGAGGUUGUAAGAAAGUAGCUGAAAAGCAGUCCAACUCAGAAAAAAAGUGGAAGGGAAACACCGUUCGCCCUUCUGUACCGCUUCCAGCUCAGCAUAGAAGCAAAGGCUGUUUGUUGUUUUUGCGUUAAACAAACCGGGUGUCACACUGGCAGGUACACAAACCUACAAGCAUCGGCUCCCCACCAACGCGCUUUUGUUUUAACGAGCUAAAAAGAUCCUUGAUAGCAGCUGGUGAAAGGCUCAUUGUCUUGCCACAUCCUUUCCCCGACUUGACCGGGUCAAGAGAGUAGAACUGGGCAGCUCUGGGAGCGGAGAGCAGGGUGGGAGACCCACGCUUUCCUCCGGAGCCCUCUUUCAGUUGCUGGUUUGUGCGUGUGGUCAUUUUCCUUUCAUAAUAUGUAUUUUACGGGAGGCCCUGGAAAGAACAUGUAUGGACCUGGACCUUACUGCACUUGGUAGCUACAAAUACAGAAUGAAAGGAUGCUCUGUGGCCUGACAAGUUCACUGGUUUUGUGCUCAGGUCUAUUCUUUCCUUUAACUUUGGUACCUCUUUCCUCUUUCUUUUGAGUUGCUUCACUUCCCUUUCAGCACACCUCCUUCUGUCAAUGCUGCCUCCAUUUGUUUUUUACAUAAUUGCACUUCAGUCAACCCAGUUUAUGUCUUUUUAACCAUGUGUAACUUAGUAUCACUUGUGAUAUUUCUCCUUUCCUUAGCCUUCUUUCGGCUCUUCUUUCCCGGUGGUUUCCAUGGUUUGUAUUUGCUGUGCUGCCUCUCCACCUACUAUAUGUGAAGAAGAGGAAGGGAGAAUUACCUGGGACCAGAGAGACAGAGAAUGGGGUUGAAUGUAGGCAGAACCGAGAGACUGGAGACUACGGCAGGCUAGGAUGGAGAAAAGCAGGCUGGUGGAGAAAAAAAUAAGAUGUUCGUUAAAGAGGAUGCUGGAUAUAGGAAUUUCCUACACCAGAGGAAAGGCAGGUCUUGCUGAGAACAAUAUAAAGAAGGAAGGAAGCGGUUGUUUGGGAGAGCUGGGAGAAUUGACCAUGGCUGCGGAUGAAAGGAGAAGCUGAGCCAGGCUGGGUGCGAUCAGCAGGGCCGUCAGCCUGGAGACAGCCUCCAGGAGAGGCAGAACCAAGUGUCAAAACCACAAAGGAGGGCCAGGCAGGGAAAAACCCACACCUACAAGCACAGCAGCACUCAAAACGCAGAGAUACUGAUCAGGGAUUUGCUGCACAGGGAACAGAAAGGAUGGUGAAAGCCCCCAAAAUUUUACUUUGUAAGCGACAUUGAAUAUUUACAGACAUUUAUGCAUGUGAUCUCUCAUUUUGAAUCUCCUGCACUCUGAUUCAUUAGGCUUAUAGCUAGUUAAACAGCAAUGUGUGGUAGUAUAUUAGAUCCUGGAUAGUCAACAGCUUUUAAAAUCUAAAUUUAAUUAAAUUUAAUUAAAUGCAAAGACAGGCAAAUAGGAAAACGUCAAAUGCUGCUCAGCUACCAGGUGACAACUGGAUGUAUUAGCUUUCAAAAAUCAGCAUAAAAUUCAAAAAUAGAGAAAAAACACUUUACAAAAGGCCUUCACACUCGCCCAGGACAGGGUGAGAAGGGAUAAUACUGCUUUUCUCCAAGGAAAGAGCAAACUCGGAUGGUCCAUCCACUCCUGUAAUUCCCAGAACGACACAGAACAUGAAUGCCAAGCCUGACAAUAUGUUGCUGAGUGAGGGGUAGCAGAGAGAAAGUGACUGUGAUAGAAGACAGCAUGGCAGGGAUAAACAAACAGGUGCUGUCAGCCAAAUGCUGAACGCUGCAAAUGCACCACAGCAGAUGCCCUGAUUAAA